AACGAACGCUGGCGGCGCGCCUAAUACAUGCAAGUCGAGCGAGAAGACGUAGCAAUACGUUUGUAAAGCGGCGAACGGGUGAGGAAUACAUGGGUAACCUACCCUCGAGUGGGGAAUAACUAGCCGAAAGGUUAGCUAAUACCGCGUACGCUCCUUGGACUUCGGUUCAGGGAGGAAAGCGAUACCGUGGGUAUCGCGCUCUUGGAUGGGCUCAUGUCCUAUCAGCUUGUUGGUGAGGAACGGCUCACCAAGGCUUCGACGGGUAGCUGGUCUGAGAGGACGAUCAGCCACACUGGCACUGCGACACGGGCCAGACUCCUACGGGAGGCAGCAGUAAGGAUAUUGCGCAAUGGGCGAAAGCCUGACGCAGCGACGCCGCGUGGGGGAGUGAAGGUC
rnacentral:rRNA from 1 species